rnacentral:rRNA from 1 species
GACGAACGCUGGCGGCGUGCCUAAUACAUGCAAGUCGAGCGGACAGAAGGGAGCUUGCUCCCGGAAGUUAGCGGCGGACGGGUGAGUAACACGUGGGCAACCUACCCUGUAGAUCGGGAUAACAUCGAGAAAUCGGUGCUAAUACCGGAUAAUCAUUUGAAGUGCAUGCUUCGAAUGUAAAAGAUGGCUCCGGCUCUCACUACGGGAUUGGCCCGCGGCGCAUUAGCCAGUUGGUAAGGUAAUGGCUUACCAAGGCAACGAUGCGUAGCCGACCUGAGAGGGUGAUCGGCCACACUGGGACUGAGACACGGCCCAGACUCCUACGGGAGGCAGCAGUAGGGAAUCUUCCGCAAUGGACGAAAGUCUGACGGAGCAACGCCGCGUGAGUGAUGAAGGUUUUCGGAUCGUAAAGCUCUGUUGUUAGGGAAGAACAAGUGCCGUUUGAAUAAGGCGGCACCUUGACGGUACCUAACCGGAAAGCCACGGCUAACUACGUGCCAGCCGCCGCCGUAACAC